UACGAAGGGGGGCUAGCGUUGCUCGGAAUCACUGGGCGUAAAGCGCACGUAGGCGGCUUUCUAAGUCAGGGGGUGAAAUCCUGGAGCUCAACUCCAGAACUGCCUUUGAUACUGGAGAGCUCGAGUCCGGAAGAGGUGAGUGGAACUGCGAGUGUAGAGGUGAAAUUCGUAGAUAUUCGCAAGAACACCAGUGGCGAAGGCGGCUCACUGGCCCGGUACUGACGCUGAGGUGCGAAAGCGUGGGGGAGCGAACAGG
rnacentral:rRNA from 1 species